GUUGGAGACAGGUUACUUGGCUAGAUGGAUUUUUGGUCUGACAGAUGAUGGCUAUUCUUCUAUAAGACUUUUAUAGGGUAAAGGAACUGAAGAGUGGAGAACCUUUAGUUCUCUGCUGUCUUGCAGCUAACAAAAGAAGAUUGUCUUUCAAGUUUAGCUUAGCUGAUAGCAUUUGGGCUCUAUCCAUCAAAAUCCAAACAAAAUUCUGAAUGUUGGCAUUCCAGGAAAUGUUAUCUCCAGAAAUACUUGCUAUCCUUUUCUGCUCCCUGCAACACAGAAACAUUCCUAUCAAUUCAGUACUCUGUUUAGUUUCUGUGUGGUUUUGGUGAGUGAUAUGCAAGCAUUGAAAUACAUGGUGCAGGCUGUCCCUAAAGUGUCAAAAUCAUCUGCAGUAUGCCUUUACUUCAGCUACCAAUUAUCUACAGAAAAAUCGCUGUCAAGGUACGGUUCGGAGGGAGGAGGUCACAAUGCAGCAAGAUGUUCCUUUUAUUAGAAGUCUGGAGGAGAAGUCUACAGCUUGCCUUCUGCAGAGAGUGGCUCAGAAGAGUCGGAGCUUCACUAAGGAAGAUAAGAGAGAAUGUCAAGCAAAAGUCACAAAUCUCUAGCACAGGUCCGCAAACAAAACCUACCUGCUUUUACACACCUGGUCUCGUGCCAAGCAUAAUUUCUUUGCCUAUGGAAGGUGGAGCUUAGAAGGAUAUGGUCUGGAUGUAUUUCCAAAUAACAGUUCAAUUCAGUGGUUUUAGACAGUCAUACUUGUCCAGCCUCAAGCCCAACAUUCAUCAGUCUUUGAAAGUGGCUGAAGUAAUUAAAAUAAUAGCAUACUUACCGGAAUUGAUUGAACUUGCUCAUUAAUCUUUUCAAUGAAUUGAUUGGUAAAUACAUUUUGAUGAAAACACAGAAUGGUACGUACAAACAUGGUACGCUCUAUAGGACUCCUUUGCUAGUGCUAGAGGUUUAAUGCAGACUUAUGAGUAAAAGAACUGUCCCAGCUAUACCAGACUGCAAGAUGACGUCCAGCAGAAUCAAGCAGCUUUUCUGAUGCAGCAAAGAAAUAAUUCGUCCAAAGAGAUGAACCCAUGAUGGUAUUAUUACUAACAACCCCCCAAACCAGCAUGUUUCAAAUGAUGCAUAGAUGGGUUAUAAUAACAAACCUUUCACCCAACUGCAUUGAUACUUUUUCGAAGUUAGUCUCAUACAGUCAUCUAACAGUUUAAUAGUGUUUUGAAAAUACACCCCG
rnacentral:lncRNA from 1 species